rnacentral:rRNA from 1 species
AUACGGAAGGUCCGGGCGUUAUCCGGAUUUAUUGGGUUUAAAGGGAGCGCAGGCGGAGAUGCAAGCGUGACGUCAAAUUUCGGGGCUCAACCCCGUCUCGCGUCGCGAACUGCGCCCCUUGGUUGCGGGAAGGGGAGGCAGAACUCGUGGUGUAGCGGAGAAAUGCAUAGAUAUCACGAAGAACUCCGAUCGCGAAGGCAGCCUGCCGGCCCGUCAACGACGCUCAUGCUCGAAGGUGCGGGUAUCAAACAGGAUUAGAUACCCUGGUAGUCCGCACAGUAAACGAUGGACACCCGCGGUUUGGCCUGUAUGGCUGAGCCGCCAAGCGAAAGCGUUAAGUGUCCCACCUGGGGAGUACGCCGGCAACGGUGAAACUCAAAGGAAUUGACGGGG